rnacentral:rRNA from 1 species
GAAGCUACUAAGGGCUUACGGUGAAUGCCUUGGCGCUAAGUGCCGAUGAAGGACGUGGGUCACUGCGAUAAGCCUCGGGAAGCCGUGAACAGGCGUUGAUCCGGGGAUUUCCGAAUGGAGAAAUCCGCUGUUGCGAACCAACAGCAUCCCAUACUGAACACAUAAGUAUGUGGAGGGGAACCUGGUGAACUGAAACAUCUAAGUAACCAGAGGAAAAGAGAGCAUUCCCUGAGUAGUGGCGAGCGAAAAGGGAACAGCCCAAACCAUCACUUGUGAUGGGGUUGUAGGGCCUGGCACAUAGGAGUUACAAAGCAGAUCGUUAGUGGAAUGGUGUGGGACAGCCAGCCAUAGAGGGUAACAGCCCCGUACGCGAAAACGAUUUGUCUCCUGCUAGGUACCUGAGUACUGCCGGGCACGCUAAUCCGGCAGGAAUCUGGGGAGUCCACUCUCCAAGGCUAAAUACACUUGGCGACCGAUAGUGAACAAGUACCGUGAGGGAAAGGUGAAAAGUACCCCGUUGAGGGGAGUGAAAUAGAACCUGAAACCGUAAGCUUACAAGCAGUUGAAGGGCUAAUAGUGGGUCGGUGCCCCGGAGAAAUUCGGGUGCGCGCCACUACGCCUGACAGCGUGCCUCUUGGAGAAUGAGCCUGCGAGUUAAUCUUUGUGGCGAGGUUAAGGGAGUAACACCCGGAGCCGUAGCGAAAGCGAGUCUGA